rnacentral:rRNA from 1 species
AUUGAACGCUGGCGGCAGGCCUAACACAUGCAAGUCGAACGAGUGGCGGGCGGGUGAGUAAUGUCUGGGAAACUGCCUGAUGGAGGGGGAUAACUACUGGAAACGGUAGCUAAUACCGCAUACACUCGGAUGUGCCCAUAUGGGAUUCGCUAGUGGGUGGGGUAACGGCUCACCUCGGCGACGAUCCCUAGCUGGUCUGAGAGGAUGACCAGCCACACUGGAACUGAGACACGGUCCAGACUCCUACGGGAGGCAGCAGUGGGGAAUAUUGCACAAUGGGCGCAAGCCUGAUGCAGCCACGCCGCGUGAGUGAUGAAGGUCUUCGGAUCGUAAAACUCUGUUAUUAGGGAAGCGGUACCUAAACAGAAAGCCACGGCUAACUACGUGCCAGCAGCCGCGGUAAUAC